GGGUGAUUAGCUCAGUUGGUAGAGCAGCUGACUCUUAAUCAGCGGGUCGGGGGUUCGAAUCCCUCAUCACCCACCA
rnacentral:tRNA from 1 species